CAGUUCUGUGGAAAAAGCACAGUUUCCCAGCCUAGGUAGCACGCUCACUCACCGACUCCCUUGGCUGGGGGAUAGGGGCUCCCCUGCCCAUGUGGUUCUCAGGUGGGCUGCCGCACCACACUGCUCUUCCUUCUUCUCCUUGGGUCACACUAGCCGCCUAGUCAGUCCUGGUGACAGAACGCGGAUACUUCAGUUGCCGGUGCAGGAUUCACACUCUGUUUUGGUUCUUUUCAAUGGCAGCCUACAAUUACUGCUGCUUCUAGUCGGCCAUCUUGGCCCCGCCCCCUC
rnacentral:lncRNA from 10 species